rnacentral:rRNA from 1 species
AGUCAAGAGACGAAGGGCACACGGUGGAUGCCUUGGCGCCAAGAGCCGACGAAGGACGUGGGCGGCUGCGAUAAGCCCCGGGAAGGAGCUGACCAUCCGUUGAUCCGGGGAUUUCCGAAUGGGGAAACCCGG